rnacentral:tRNA from 1 species
GCGCGCGUGGCGGAAUUGGUAGACGCGCUGGAUUUAGGUUCCAGUGCCUUUGGGCGUGAGGGUUCGAGUCCCUCCGUGCGCA